CACAUGGUCUGACAGAGGUAAUGAGGCCUCGUUCAUGGUAUUUGACCAUUUAUUUUAAGUCCUUUUUAUCAGAGGCUAAAUUGUGUGUGUUCUUUGAGAUUGUUUAAUUGCAGUUUGCACUUUUACCUGACUGCUUGCAGUUUGCACUUCACCCUGAUUUGCAGAAGGAAACUUUGAUAGAUGUACCUAAACAUGUAUGAGUGGCUGAAUUUUAUUAACAGACAGCAUCCAAGAAAUAGCAGGAUUUUGAUAUUUCUUAACCGUGCAAUAAUUUCUGUCUCUGGUUUCCAGGCUCAAUCAGCUGCUGUUCUUGUUUUUUUGUUUGUUUAGAUCCUGAAUUUUUUUUUUUUUUUUUUUUUUUUUAAUCAUUCUAAUUAUUUAGUUAUUUUUAAAUUUUUAUUUUUAUUUUUAUUUUUUGUCUGUUUGAUCCUGUGUUUUUUUUUUUUUUUUUUUUUUUUUUUGUCAGAACUUUUUUUGUCUUUUAGAGUUUUAGAGUUUAAGUUUAUUUCUUUUGUAUAACUUUUUCUUUCUCAUCCCCUACAGUGCAGUAGUGGCUGGCUAGCAGAGAUUAGGCACGUUGGAUGGUUCCCCACACCUUUUUGUUGCAGUGGUAGGCGCACUGGAGCACCAUAGUCUACACCAGUUUGCAUUGAGUUCAUGUGUGGUGGGCUAGCUCCAACUCCCUGUCCCCUUCCCUUCUUGUUAGUUUUAACUAUCUGGAAGUGUUUUAUUGAUUAAUUGUUAAAAUAAUCACUUGUAAUCAACUUUAGCAAUCAACUUAUUCAAUAACAGACUCAAACCUUUAUUACCAAUUCACCACUAACUCCCUUUUGUGUCUUUCAGCAGACACUUCCAGGUCAAAGCAUUUUUAUAUUUUAAUAUUAUAAAUAAAUUUUGAUUUGCUCUGAA